UGUGGCCAAAAGAGAUUAACAUUUGAGUCAGUGUGCUAAGGAAGGCAGAUCCACCCUUAAUCUUGCGGGCACAAUCUAAUCCGCUGCCAGUGAAUAUGAAGCAGGCAGAAAAACGUGAAAAGGAGAGACUGGCCUAGGCUCCCAGCCUACAUCUUUCUCCCGUGCUGGAUCCUUCCUGCCCUCGAACAUCGGACUCGAAGUUCUUCAGUUUUGGGACUUGGACUGGCUCUCCUUGCUCCUCAGCUUGCAGACAGCCUACUAUGGGACCUUGUGAUCAUAUGGUGUCCGGAAUUUCAAAUAAUACUGAGUUAUGGGAAUUGCCACAGAAUGUAAACACCAUGAGAACACAGGCUUUGUCUGCCACAUUUAUUGCUGCAUUUGCAGCAUGUAGAAUGGUGACUGACAUAUAAGAAGUACCAAUUAAACAUUUGUGGAUGAGUCAAUGAAGAAACUAGACCAUCCACAUUUCCUGAAUCGUGACUCCUUUCAUCUUCACUGUCAGCAUGGUGGGUUGAGUCCUUCUAAAGCUUCAAAUCUCUCUGAUUUCUCCUUCUGCUUUAUAUUUCCUGUUUUUAGCCUGAGAAGAUUUUCUGCUUUUAAGGGCUC
rnacentral:lncRNA from 10 species